CCCAGGUAAAAUUAUUACUGGAGACAUUUGACCUGGAAAAAAGAAAUCAGCUGAAGAGGCUAAGGUGGCAGUAUUCGAAGGCUGACAUUCGACAAAAGAAUGAGACUUAUUUUGUAUAGCCUUAGAAAGCAGAAUCUACCUCUCUGACCUUAUCACUAAGCUGUCACCAUCAUCCAUCUCCAGAACUUUUCAUUGUCCCAGACUGAAACUCUGUGCCCAUUAAACACUC
rnacentral:lncRNA from 10 species